rnacentral:rRNA from 1 species
UGAACGCUGGCGGUAGGCCUAACACAUGCAAGUCGAACGGCAGCACAGUAAGAGCUUGCUCUUACGGGUGGCGAGUGGCGGACGGGUGAGGAAUACAUCGGAAUCUACUCUGUCGUGGGGGAUAACGUAGGGAAACUUACGCUAAUACCGCAUACGACCUACGGGUGAAAGCAGGGGAUCUUCGGACCUUGCGCGAUUGAAUGAGCCGAUGUCGGAUUAGCUAGUUGGCGGGGUAAAGGCCCACCAAGGCGACGAUCCGUAGCUGGUCUGAGAGGAUGAUCAGCCACACUGGAACUGAGACACGGUCCAGACUCCUACGGGAGGCAGCAGUGAGGAAUAUUGGACAAUGGGCGCAAGCCUGAUCCAGCCAUACCGCGUGGGUGAAGAAGGCCUUCGGUUGUAAGCCCUUUGUUGGUAAGAAAUCCAGCCGGCUAAUACCUGGUUGGAGUGACGGUACCAAACGAAUAAGCACCGGCUAACUUCGUGCCAGCAG